rnacentral:rRNA from 1 species
CAGUAGCCGCGGGAAUACGUAGGUGGCAAGCGUUGUCCGGAAUUAUUGGGCGUAAAGGGCUCGCAGGCGGUUUCUUAAGUCUGAUGUGAAAGCCCCCGGCUCAACCGGGGAGGGUCAUUGGAAACUGGGAAACUUGAGUGCAGAAGAGGAGAGUGGAAUUCCACGUGUAGCGGUGAAAUGCGUAGAGAUGUGGAGGAACACCAGUGGCGAAGGCGACUCUCUGGUCUGUAACUGUCGCUGAGGCGCGAAAGCGUGGGGAGCAAACAGGAUUAGAUACCCCCGUAGUCCCUGUCUCUUAUAC